AUUGAACGCUGGCGGCAGGCCUAACACAUGCAAGUCGAACGGUAACAGGAAGAAGCUUGCUUCUUUGCUGACGAGUGGCGGACGGGUGAGUAAUGUCUGGGAAACUGCCUGAUGGAGGGGGAUAACUACUGGAAACGGUAGCUAAUACCGCAUAACGUCGCAAGACCAAAGAGGGGGACCUUCGGGCCUCUUGCCAUCGGAUGUGCCCAGAUGGGAUUAGCUAGUAGGUGGGGUAACGGCUCACCUAGGCGACGAUCCCUAGCUGGUCUGAGAGGAUGACCAGCCACACUGGAACUGAGACACGGUCCAGACUCCUACGGGAGGCAGCAGUGGGGAAUAUUGCACAAUGGGCGCAAGCCUGAUGCAGCCAUGCCGCGUGUAUGAAGAAGGCCUUUGGGUUGUAAAGUACUUUCAGCGGGGAGGAAGGGAGUAAAGUUAAUACCUUUGCUCAUUGACGUUACCCGCAGAAGAAGCACCGGCUAACUCCGUG
rnacentral:rRNA from 1 species